UUGGCCCGCCUGAAAAGGCCCCAGCCUAUCAAACACCGCCCGGACUGUCACGUACAAACCCCACCAUCCAACAGCCGGAAUCCAAACCCCCACUUUUCUAGUCCAGCCCGGCUCCGCCCUCUUGCCAUCAAGAUGACAGCCCUACCCACUCGCGGGAUUGUGCUGGCGUGGUCCUGGGUGCCCCAGCCUGUGCCCCCCUACGGCGCAGCGUGUGCCGGUCGUAAUCUGGAAAAUCCCAAACUCUCUAGAGUGCGGAGCCAGGCCGAUGCACUCGGUGGGGUUAAAAGUGCUCCCUGAGUGAGACUGGACUCCUAAAUGGCUGAGCCAUACCGAGGGUGAGCGUCCAUGUGCUCCCCUGAAGAGAGCGGCGACCACCGGCUUGCCUCCUAGGGCAGCAGGAAAAGAGCGAUCCCACGGCGGGCGCGUGCCAGAUGCGGGACUUGUAUCAGAAUAUGUGAAAAACUCCUACGACCAGAGAGAGAAAAAGCAGCCAGCCAAUGAAAAUGCAUGAAGGAUUCAAAUAGAUACCUACCCAGAGAAGAUACCCGUGAGUUGCAAAUGAACAGCCUCGUUGCUGCUUGAGGUACUGGCAGGCAUCGCCCCUCCUUUAGCUACCUCAGUGUGGACCAUGUUCUGCUGUCGUUGCUACUAUGCAAGCACAGAGAGUCCAUGCCAAAGCUUGCUUUCCUGCUCCUGUUGACAGUGAACACCUACAGUGACCAGAUCCCAGGCAAGGUUGGCAACCCCACAGGACCACAUGUCUCUUCUUGGUCGGACCCCCAGAUGUCUCCUCAUCUGAGCAACACCCUGCGGGUCCAGGCUCCUCUGUGUCCUUUUGAUGCUGCUCUCACCACAGAACAUAUGUGACAGGCCUGCUGAUUGGUGUCCAUGCUUGUCUACAGUUUGUGGUGUCAUGUUCCAGACUCAGCCUCAUGGCGGUCACAAUCCAACUGUCCUCAAGGAAGCCCGCUGUGCCAAGUCCUCAGGUGCUGUCAGGCUGUGACCUCCAACUCAUGGCACCAGACUCUGGUAGGGAAGUGGAGCUAAUCAGGUAACACACAGGAAGCUGAGCAUGAGAAGUGCUGUCUCAGUGCUGUUUCUAGUACCUUCUCCUGAGAGGAUUCUUGGGAAAGAGAGGGGGAAAAAAUGGCAGCAUAGUCACUCAGAGAUUUGAGAAUUUGGAGGUGAUCUAGAACCCACUGCUGAGACAAAGAUAUUCUAGUUAUAGUUGUUUAAUGUAUCUAAAUUUUAUUUGUUUAUUUAUAUAUUAUAAUGCUGGGGAUUUGAAAUUAGGGCCUCGUGUAUGUCAUGCAAGUGUUCCAUAAUUGAACUACACCUCCAGGACUACACAGAGAGACCCUGUCUCGAAAUAAAAGAAAGGAACAAA
rnacentral:sRNA from 1 species